UACGGAGGGUGCAAGCGUUAAUCGGAAUUACUGGGCGUAAAGCGCACGUAGGUGGUUUGUUAAGCCAGCUGUGAAAUCCCCGGGCUCAACCUGAGCACUGCAGUUGGAACUGGCAAGCUAGAGUAGGGUAGAGGGGUGUGGAAUUCCAGGUGUAGCGGUGAAAUGCGUAGAUAUCUGGAGGAACAUCAGUGGCGAAGGCGACACCCUGGACUCAUACUGACACUGAGGUGCGAAAGCGUGGGGAGCAAACAGG
rnacentral:rRNA from 1 species